rnacentral:rRNA from 1 species
UACUAGAGUAGCACUCGCAUAUCAAUAAGCGGAGGAAAAGAAACUAACAAGGAUUCCCCUAGUAACGGCGAGUGAAGCGGGAAGAGCUCAAAUUUGAAAUCUUAAAGGGUUUCCCUUUUACGAAUUGUAGUUUAAAGAAGUGUUUUCUGUUGAGGUUUUGGUAAAAGUUCUUUGGAAUAGGACAUCAUAGAGGGUGAGAAUCCCGUAUUUGACCUUUACUUUCAACCUUUGUGAUACACUUUCAAAGAGUCGGAUUGUUUGGGAAUGCAGUCCAAAAUGGGUGGUAAAUUUCAUCUAAAGCUAAAUAUUGGCGAGAGACCGAUAGCGAACAAGUACCGUGAGGGAAAGAUGAAAAGAACUUUGAAAAGAGAGUUAAACAGUACGUGAAAUUGUCAAAAGGGAAGCGUUUGACACCAGUGUUGUUUUUCUGAAAAUCAAUUAAAGAACUGUUUAUGCUAAGCUGUUUAGACUUUAUCAGCUAUCUGUUUAGUUUUGAGCUUUUCUUUAAUGCACUUUUCAGUUAACAAGUCAACAUCAAUUUCUUUUGCUGUAAAAAAGCUUGAGGAAGGUGGCUUGAGAUUCGUCUUAAGUGUUUAUAGCCUCUUGCCUAUGCAGUCGGAGAGAUUGAGGUCUGCAGCGUAGAUCCUUCGGGGCUAAAUGCAUUUGUGCUAAGUUAUAGCAUUUUAUAGACAACUUGUUGACUAUGAUUUGUCUUGUAGCUUACUCGCUUAUGUUAUUUUACCUACGCUUAGGAUGUUGAACUCUAUCACACACAG